rnacentral:rRNA from 1 species
ACGUUCCCGGGCCUUGUACACACCGCCCGUCACACCAUGAGAGUCGAUAACACCCGAAGCCUGUAGUCUAACAGCAAUGAGGACGCAGUCGAAGGUGGGAUUGAUAAUUAGGGUGAAGUCGUAACAAGGUAUC